rnacentral:rRNA from 1 species
UACGUAGGGCGCAAGCGUUGUCCGGAAUUAUUGGGCGUAAAGAGCUCGUAGGCGGCCUGUCGCGUCUGCUGUGAAAUCCCGGGGCUUAGCCCCGGGCGUGCAGUGGAUACGGGCUGGCUGGAGGCAGGCAGGGGAGAACGGAAUUCCCGGUGUAGCGGUGAAAUGCGCAGAUAUCGGAAGGAACACCAGUGGCGAAGGCGACUACCUGGACAGAUACUGACACUGAGGCGCGAGAGCGUGGGGAGCAAACAGG